UUUGGUCCCCAACACUACAAAUUCAUUCCUUUUUGGCUUUAUUUAUUCAACACAAGGUAAAUACAUUGCAUAUUUACUCAUUCCUUUUUGCGAAACCCUUUUUUUAUGUGUCUAAUUGAAUUGGUUGUUCUGAGAAGAAUUAUAUUCAGAUCUGGUUGAUUCUACAUAGUUGGGCUUUGUGGAUUUUGUUCUCUAGCAGAAGAAAGGCAAAAAGAGCAGCAAAGGCAAUUUCGUAGAUUUUCAAAUAAAAUUACGAUGCAAUUACCUCAAUAGCAGCAAAACACAAACAAGGAAACAACUUCACAUCCACAGAAGCACCAAUCUUUACUCGAUCGAAAAGCCGAAGAAGAAACAACGAAAGAGUUAGCGGCACCAAUCUUUGGUCGAUCGAAAAGCCGAACAAGGAACAACGAAAGAUGAAAUAAAAUUACGAUGCAAUUCCUUGAUAGCAGCAAAACACAAAGAAGGAAAGAACUUCAAAUCCGCAGAAACACCAAUCUUUGGUCGAUCAAAAAGCCGAACAGGAAACAAUGAGCGGCAGAAUUGGAUAAGGAAGAUAGCCAAGCGGCUGUAUGUUGUAAGAACCAGGCAAAAUUAGAGGUUUGAUAGCAGCGAAACACAGACAAGAAACAAACUUCAAACCGGCAGAAACAUCAACCUUUGCUCGAUGAAAUUAUCAGGAGAAAAGCCAAAGAGGAAAGAAAGAAAAAUUUAGAGGUGGAAAUGGAUAAGGAACAUAGUGAGGCGACUCUCUAUAAUUGGAUUAAAGAAGAGAAGCUGAGGCAGUGAGAGUUAUAAUUCAUCAGAAUUAUGAUAAUAUCUUUUUUUUUCCUCAAACAGACAUGUCGACGAUGCCAUGUUUCCUUGAGCAGCCACACCUUAUUGUAUAGUAGAAAGAGGGAGUUUUGGAACGACCAGUGGAAAAUCCGUAAUUAAGCACAAUAUGCAUGGGUAAAUAUUAAUAACUAUAAAAUAUCUACUAUUAUCAACAUCAUUGUGAAAACCUCCAUUACACUUUCAUUCUUCUUCUUCUUCUGUUUCCCCCUUUCUUCUACUGCCACUACAGUGAAUAAUAAUUUUGUUUUAGGUGAAGCAGUGAAAGCUUGGAGUAUGUGAAAAGUAGUGGACUGAUUUUGGAUUCUCUCCAUCUUCCUGAAUUUCUAUUUUCUAAUGGAAGAAGAUUUAAUUCGACUUUCGAUUCUUGCGUCUCUAAUUAGCUAUCAUUGAUUGAGUUAUAAGAUCUGUAGGAUUUUGUUUUGGAUUAUAAGAAAUUGCUUUGUUGAAUCUACAAAUUUGAGGUAACAGAUCUGAUAGCCCAAAAAUCUGCAACUUUCAUCUUAUAUCCGCAAAUCAGUAGAUUUGGUGCAAAAAAUAGUUGCAAUUUCUCUUCUUUUUUUUACAGUAGAAAAGUAGGAUUUCUCUGUUUUUUGGAUGAAGAAGAAUAACAAAACUUUAUUAUUACAUCUCUUGACAAUCUUCAUAAAAACAAAGUAUCUUUACUUUUCCUAUUGUGUGUGCUUGCAGAUCUGGAAGAAACCAGAAAUAUUUUUGACCCAUUACUCAAAAAGAAAAACACCUAAUUACCGUUUUUAAAGUUGUAGUUUUUGACUGAUGUAGUAGAUGCCUCACCUGCUUAGGCACACACAGACACCACAACAACACACAGACAACAAACAAACUUCAAACCAGCAUAAGCAACAAUCUUUUGCUCCAUGAAAUUAUAAUGAGAAAAGCCAAAGAAGGAAGAAGAAAAAACUUAGCCGAGUAGAAGGGAAAAGUAUCGCACUGUGAAUGUACAUAUGUACAAGAUAUGUACAUAUUUGUAUUUUCAUCAUAAAAAUAUGUACAAAAUCGCACUGUGAAUGAGCACCUAAACAAAAUAGAAUAGGAAGCAAUAAAUAAGGUAUCGCUAAAUUGGUCCUUACUUAAAAAUAUAAUAGUGCAGAAAUUUGGUCCCCAACACUACAAAUUCAUUCCUUUUUGGCUUUAUUUAUUCAACACAAGGUAAAUACAUUGCAUAUUUACUCAUUCCUUUUUGCGAAACCCUUUUUUUAUGUGUCUAAUUGAAUUGGUUGUUCUGAGAAGAAUUAUAUUCAGAUCUGGUUGAUUCUACAUAGUUGGGCUUUGUGGAUUUUGUUCUCUAGCAGAAGAAAGGCAAAAAGAGCAGCAAAGGCAAUUUCGUAGAUUUUCAAAUAAAAUUACGAUGCAAUUACCUCAAUAGCAGCAAAACACAAACAAGGAAACAACUUCACAUCCACAGAAGCACCAAUCUUUACUCGAUCGAAAAGCCGAAGAAGAAACAACGAAAGAGUUAGCGGCACCAAUCUUUGGUCGAUCGAAAAGCCGAACAAGGAACA
rnacentral:lncRNA from 1 species